AGAGUAAUAUUUAAUAUUAUAAUAUCUAACUUGCAUUUAGAAGUUGCCUUAGCUUAUUCU
rnacentral:tRNA from 1 species